rnacentral:rRNA from 1 species
AGCGAACGCUGGCGGCAGGCCUAACACAUGCAAGUCGAACGAAGUCUUCGGACUUAGUGGCGGACGGGUGAGUAACACGUGGGAACGUGCCUUUAGGUUCGGAAUAACUCAGGGAAACUUGUGCUAAUACCGAAUGUGCCCUUCGGGGAAAAGAUUUAUCGCUUUUAGAGCGGCCCGCGUCUGAUUAGCUAGUUGGUGAGGUAAAGGCUCACCAAGGCUACGAUCAGUAGCUGGUCUGAGAGGAUGACCAGCCACAUUGGGACUGAGACACGGCCCAAACUCCUACGGGAGGCAGCAGUGGGGAAUCUUGCGCAAUGGGCGAAAGCCUGACGCAGCCAUGCCGCGUGGAUGAUGAAGGUCUUAGGAUUGUAAAAUCCUUUCACCGGUGAAGAUAAUGACUGUAGCCGGAGAAGAAGCCCCGGCUAACUUCGUGCCAGCCGCCGCAGUAAUAC